GGGUUAGGGUUAGGAAAAUGUGAAGAUUUUCCCAAAAUCUGAAGAUUUUCCUAAGUGCGGACCCAAUUUUUCACCUUCCAGAAUUGUGUUAGGAGCACGUUUCAGGCCACGGGGAGUCCAUAGAACCUGAUUCUGGGUGAAGUUUUCGGGGGUUGGAGCUUUGCGGCAGGAUGAUAUAGGGAUAUGUGCCACUUUUGACAUGCCGGUUCAUUGCCUUUCCCAUCGAUGAACCGGGCUGAGAUUUGGUCUACCCCCCCAUUUUCGGGUAUGCUGAAUCUAGAAAUAGUAAUGAACCAGCGAUCGGACAUUCCUAUCAAAAGUUAUGGCGAAGUGAAAAUUUCCCAUUGAAAAUGAAUGGGAGCGGAAAAUGGCCAAAGUCAGUGUUUGCAAGUGUUGUACUUGUCUGGAAGUGUUGAAAAUGCAUUGUGAGCACGUUUCAGGCUAUUUCCUGUCAUUUGAGGG